rnacentral:rRNA from 1 species
GGCUCAUUACAACAGCUAUUAUUUACUUGAUUUUGAUUCCAUACGUGGAUAACUGUGGUAAUUCUAGAGCUAAUACAUGCACCAAAGCUCCGACUUACGUUUUUUCUUAAACGACGAGCGCAUCUAUUAGAAUAAAACCAAUCGAGAUCAAGUUCUAACGUGUAUUGCGUAGAAGUUUGAUUCUCGUCGAUUUGGUGACUCUGAAUAGCUAAGCUGAUCGCAUGGUCUUGUACCGGCGACGUAUCAAUCAAGUAUCUGCCUUAUCAACUUUCGAUGGUAGUUUAUAUGACUACCAUGGUUGUAACGGGUAACGGAGAAUAAGGGUUCGACUCCGGAGAGGGAGCCUGAGAAACGGCUACCACUUCCAAGGAAGGCAGCAGGCGCGCAAAUUACCCACUCUCAGCAUAUAGGAGGAGGUAGUGACGAAAAAUAACGAGACCGUACUCGAUGAGGCCGGUUAUCGGAAUGGGUAAAAUUUAAACCCGUUAACGAGGAUCUAUGAGAGGGCAAGUCUGGUGCCAGCAGCCGCGGUAAUUCCAGCUCUCAAAGUGUAUAUCGGCAUUGCUGCGGUUAAAAAGCUCGUAGUUGGAUUUGAGCCUUACGACGUGGUGCAUUCAUUGAAUGUGAACUACGAUUUCGUAGGCUAAUUGAAAUGUUGGUUUUUCCUUGCGUCGCUCUGAACGGCAGCGUAAGGUGGCUGACGAGUUUACCUUGAAAAAAUUAGAGUGCUCAACGCGGGCUAGUACGCUUGAAUAUUAGUGCAUGGAAUAAUGGAAUAGGAUCUCGGUUCUAUUUUGUUGGUUUUCUGAUCUGAGAUAAUGGUUAAGAGGGACAGACGGGGGCAUUCGUAUCGCUGCGUGAGAGGUGAAAUUCUUGGACCGUAGCGAGACGUCCCACUGCGAAAGCAUUUGCCAAGAAUGUCUUCAUUAAUCAAGAACGAAAGUCAGAGGUUCGAAGGCGAUCAGAUACCGCCCUAGUUCUGACCGUAAACGAUACCAACUAGCGUUCCGUCAGCAGUAAUUACGCCUUGACGGGCAGCUUACCGGAAACGAAAGUUUAUCGGUUCCGGGGGAAGUAUGGUUGCAAAGCUGAAACUUAAAGAAAUUGACGGAAGGGCACCACCAGGAGUGGAGCCUGCGGCUUAAUUUGACUCAACACGGGAAAACUCACCUGGCCCGGACACCGUGAGGAUUGACAGAUUGAGAGCUCUUUCUUGAUUCGGUGGUUGGUGGUGCAUGGCCGUUCUUAGUUGGUGGAGUGAUUUGUCUGGUUUAUUCCGAUAACGAACGAGACUCUAGCCUACUAAAUAGUCGGCGAAUAAUUUGUACACACAAUGUGCAGUAAAAACUUUUCUUGUUAAAUAGCGAGAAUAAGUUAGUUUGUACGACUUCUUAGAGGGACAAGCGGUGUUCAGCCGCAUGAAGUAGAGCAAUAACAGGUCUGUGAUGCCCUUAGACGUCCAGGGCUGCACGCGCGCUACACUGGAGGAAUCAACGUGCCAUGUCCGUUGUCGAAAGGCAAUGGUAACCCAUUGAAAAUCCUCCGUGCUCGGAAUCGGGAAUUGCAAUUAUUUCCCUUGAACGAGGAAUUCCUAGUAAGUGUGAGUCAUCAGCUCACGCUGAUUACGUCCCUGCCCUUUGUACACACCGCCCGUCGCUGCCCGGGACUGAGCCGUUUCGAGAAAAGCGGGGACCGCUAUUAUCGAGUUAUGUAUGUGUGUGUAUGUAUGUCUGAAUGUGUGCAUUGCAUGUAUGCAUAAUUUUGUAGAUAAAUGGUAGAAACCGCCU